UACGUAGGUGGCAAGCGUUGUCCGGAUUUAUUGGGUUUAAAGGGUGCGUAGGCGGCUCAUUAAGUCAGUUGUGAAAUACGGCAGCUUAACUGUCGAGGUGCAAUUGAUACUGGAGAGCUAGAGUACUGAUGAGGUAAGCGGAAUGGACGGUGUAGCGGUGAAAUGCUUAGAUAUCGUCCAGAACACCGAUAGCGAAGGCAGCUUACUAAGGAGUAACUGACGCUGAGGCACGAAAGUGUGGGGAUCAAACAGG
rnacentral:rRNA from 1 species